GGACCUGUGGCGCAGCGGUAGCGCGUGUGAUUCCAGCCAUUUAUGGGCACGUCCACAAGGUCAUCCGUUCAAACCGGGUCAGGUUCA